UACGGGGGGGGCAAGCGUUGUUCGGAAUUACUGGGCGUAAAGGGCUCGUAGGCGGCCAACUAAGUCAGACGUGAAAUCCCUCGGCUUAACCGGGGAACUGCGUCUGAUACUGGAUGGCUUGAGAUUGGGAGAGGGAUGCGGAAUUCCAGGUGUAGCGGUGAAAUGCGUAGAUAUCAAGAGGAACACCUGCGGCGAAGGCGGGUUGCUGGGCCGACACUGACGCUGAGGCGCGAAAGCCAGGGGAGCGAACAGG
rnacentral:rRNA from 1 species